GAUGAACGCUGGCGGCGUGCUUAACACAUGCAAGUCGAACGGAAAGGCCCAAGCUUGCUUGGGUACUCGAGUGGCGAACGGGUGAGUAACACGUGGGUGAUCUGCCCUGCACUUCGGGAUAAGCCUGGGAAACUGGGUCUAAUACCGGAUAGGACCACAUUUUGGAUGGUGUGGUGGAAAGUUUUUCGGUGUGGGAUGAGCUCGCGGCCUAUCAGCUUGUUGGUGGGGUAAUGGCCUACCAAGGCGUCGACGGGUAGCCGGCCUGAGAGGGUGUACGGCCACAUUGGGACUGAGAUACGGCCCAGACUCCUACGGGAGGCAGCAGUGGGGAAUAUUGCACAAUGGGCGCAAGCCUGAUGCAGCGACGCCGCGUGGGGGAUGACGGCCUUCGGGUUGUAAACUCCUUUCGCUAGGGACGAAGCGUUAUGUGACGGCACCUGGAGAAGAAGCACCGGCUAACUACGUG
rnacentral:rRNA from 1 species